AUGGCGGCAGUUCGGUGCGCGGCGAGGAGGCUCAGUGCGUCCCUGCUCCAACGAACGCAGGCGGCGGUCGCGGAGGGACGCCGGCACCUGCCAAGCAGGUUCACUGGGUCCCGCCAGCUCUCCAGCGAGUGUGAGCGCGAGAUUGAGGAGAAGAGGGUGGAGCUGCGUAACUUGGUAUCUAAAACGAUGCAGAAGAAAAUGGAGCUGCAGGAUGCGUUAGCAAAAGCGGGGAAAAAUCCUAAUGCUAUUGGUGAGUAUGAAAUGCAUGUACUCGAGCAUCUUUCUCAACAGAAAAUCUUUCCAGAACCACAUGACACCCCCUUAUACAGGAGCUGGAAGCAGUUUGCUACGAGGGCUAGGAGUGUGCUGGAUAUAGUUGUCAUGACGACAGGCUCCGUCAUGCUUACGGCUUGUCUGGUCAGUAUCAUCACAGACAAGGAGGUAAAAGCCCAUACUGUUAACAAGGAAAUCCAGUAG
rnacentral:rRNA from 1 species